rnacentral:misc_RNA from 1 species
GACGUAAGUGGCAAGCGUUGUUCGGAAUUACUGGGCAUAAAGGGCGCGUAGGCGGCGCAGUAAGUCAGUGGUGGAAGCCCUCGGCUCAACCGGGGAAUUGCCAUUGAUACUGCUGUGCUCGAGGCCGCGAGGGGUGCAUGGAACUCUUGGUGGAGCGGUGAAAUGCGUAGAUAUCAAGAGGAACGCCGGUGGCGAAAGCGAUGCUCUGGCGCGGAUCUGACGCUGAGGCGCGAAAGCUAGGGGAGCGAACAGG